rnacentral:tmRNA from 1 species
GGGGCUGACCGGUUUUGACAGCAGGAUCAGCAGAUGAUGUAAGCAUGUCGUGGCACGUUGUGUACCCACGUAAAUCAGGCACUUCAACCUAUAACUGGCAACAACAAUUACGCUUUGGCUGCCUAAUAGACCGAAUCACAGUAAGUCUUGGCAUCUCCCUGCAAGGCAGGGAAGCUGAAUGUCUCUCAAAAGCCUUUCCUUACGGCGUUUGAUCAAGAGGCACAGGAAUGUGGGGAUAGAUUGCGGAUUGUUCCGCACCGCAGUCGAAAAUUAAGGAACUAAGCUGCAGUUAGCGUGUCUGUCCGCGGGCUGCAGUCGAAAAUCAAUGACCGACUAAGCAUGUAGAAAGCACAUAGGCUGCUUGUUUGGACGCGGGUUCGAAUCCCGCCAGCUCCACUA